AUGAUGAGAUCGUCAACCAUGUUGGUCGACGACCCAACACAGAAUAUCAUGGCAGUGUGUGACUUUGAAAUGAGAUUCACUUCUAUUGUCGCGGGAUGGCUAGGGUCAGCACAUGACACAAGGAUAUUCAGAGAUACUUUGGUGAAGUAUGCAGAUAGGUUUCCACAUCCACCGAUAGGGGGGUACUAUCUUGUUGACUCGGGUUAUCCCAAUUGUGAUGGAUAUUUAGCUCCAUACAAAGGGCAAAAGUACCAUGUGCCAAAAUUUCGCCAAGGUCUCCCACCGAAUGGGAAAAAAACAUUUAACUUUGCACAUUCAUCUCUAGGCAAUGUUAUUGAGCGUUCAUUUGGUGUCUGGAAGAUGAAAUGGCGUAUUUUACAAAAAAUGACAAGUUACCCUCCUGAGAAGCAAGCUCGAAUCAUCAUUGCAUGCAUGGCACUUCAUAAUUGCAUUAGAGAAAGCAAUUUGAGAGACUUGGAGUUUGACAAAUGUGAUCGCGAUGAGAACUACAUGCCAAGGAAUUCACAACCCCUACCCACGGGACAUGUGUCCAAUAUUGUGGUUGGUGAUGAUGCAACCAUGAAAGCAACUCGUGAGGCGAUUGCUGAUGGAUUGAUGGUGGAUCAAGUAUAG
rnacentral:rRNA from 1 species